rnacentral:rRNA from 1 species
ACGAACGCUGGCGGCGUGGAUAAGACAUGCAAGUCGAACGAGAGAAUUGCUAGCUUGCUAAUAAUUCUCUAGUGGCGCACGGGUGAGUAACACGUGAGUAACCUGCCCCCGAGAGCGGGAUAGCCCUGGGAAACUGGGAUUAAUACCGCAUAGUAUCGAAAGAUUAAAGCAGCAAUGCGCUUGGGGAUGGGCUCGCGGCCUAUUAGUUAGUUGGUGAGGUAACGGCUCACCAAGGCGAUGACGGGUAGCCGGUCUGAGAGGAUGUCCGGCCACACUGGAACUGAGACACGGUCCAGACACCUACGGGUGGCAGCAGUCGAGAAUCAUUCACAAUGGGGGAAACCCUGAUGGUGCGACGCCGCGUGGGGGAAUGAAGGUCUUCGGAUUGUAAACCCCUGUCAUGUGGGAGCAAAUUAAAAAGAUAGUACCACAAGAGGAAGAGACGGCUAACUCUGUGCCAGCAGCCGCGGUAAUACAGAGGUCUCAAGCGUUGUUAGGAAUCACUGGGCGUAAAGCGUGCGUAGGCUGUUUCGUAAGUCGUGUGUGAAAGGCGCGGGCUCAACCCGCGGACGGCACAUGAUACUGCGAGACUAGAGUAAUGGAGGGGGAACCGGAAUUCUCGGUGUAGCAGUGAAAUGCGUAGAUAUCGAGAGGAACACUCGUGGCGAAGGCGGGUUCCUGGACAUUAACUGACGCUGAGGCACGAAGGCCAGGGGAGCGAAAGGGAUUAGAUACCCCUGUAGUCCUGGCAGUAAACGGUGCACGCUUGGUGUGCGGGGAAUCGACCCCCUGCGUGCCGGAGCUAACGCGUUAAGCGUGCCGCCUGGGGAGUACGGUCGCAAGAUUAAAACUCAAAGAAAUUGACGGGGACCCGCACAAGCGGUGGAGUAUGUGGCUUAAUUCGAUGCAACGCGAAGAACCUUACCUGGGCUUGACAUGUAAUGAACAACAUGUGAAAGCAUGCGACUCUUCGGAGGCGUUACACAGGUGCUGCAUGGCCGUCGUCAGCUCGUGUCGUGAGAUGUUUGGUUAAGUCCAGCAACGAGCGCAACCCCUGUUGCCAGUUACCAGCACGUGAAGGUGGGGACUCUGGCGAGACUGCCCAGAUCAACUGGGAGGAAGGUGGGGACGACGUCAGGUCAGUAUGGCCCUUAUGCCCAGGGCUGCACACGUACUACAAUGCCCAGUACAGAGGGGGCCGAAGCCGCGAGGCGGAGGAAAUCCUGAAAACUGGGCCCAGUUCGGACUGUAGGCUGCAACCCGCCUACACGAAGCCGGAAUCGCUAGUAAUGGCGCAUCAGCUACGGCGCCGUGAAUACGUUCCCGGGUCUUGUACACACCGCCCGUCACAUCAUGGAAGCCGGUCGCACCCGAAGUAUCUGAAGCCAACCGCAAGGAGGCAGGGUCCUAAGGUGAGACUGGUAACUGGGAUG